UUUGCUAGUUCCUGCAUUUUUUGCAAGUUCCCGCAAUUUCAUUGCACAAAAUUGCAUAAAUAUCCCGCAUAUUCUCGUAUUUUUUAAGAAAACGUGUCACAUGAUCAAGGAUUUUUGCCCACAACAAUCAGAAAAAAACU